rnacentral:rRNA from 1 species
GGGAAAAUUAGUAUAAAAUGAAUAUAAUAAAAAUAAUUUUAAUUUAUAAUAUUAUAAUUAGGGGGGUUAUAGUAUUUUUUAAAGAAAAAAUUAUAUAUUUUAUAGUAAAUUAGUAUUGUGAAAGAAUUUUGAAAUAAUUGAAAAUUAAUUAUUAAAAAAGUAAAUUUUGAUUAUUGUAUCUUGUGUAUCAGAGUUUAUUAAUAAAGAAAUUUUUAAUAAAUAAUUCUCGAAUUUAAAAGAGUUAAUUAAUUAGAAAAUUUAUUGUAGCAAAAAUAUUUUUCAUAGUUAAUUAGAAAUGAAAUGUUAAUCGUUUUUAAAUAUAUCUAGUUUUUUUAGAAAAAAAUUUAAUUUAAAAUUUAAUUAAAAUAAAAAAAAAUUAAAUAAAAAAUUUUUUUAGGGUUAAAUUUAAUAUUUUAAGGGAUAAGCUUUAAUUUAAAUUUUUAUAAAGUAUAAAAUAAAUUUGAAAAUUUUAAAAUUUAUAUUAUUUAUAAAUUAUAGUUUUUUAUAAAUAAUUUCAUAAAAAAUAAAAUUUAAUUUAAGUUUAAUUUUUUAUAAAAAAGUAAAAUUUAAUUAAAUAAUUUUAUUUAUAAUGAUAAAAUUAGUAUAAAUAAUAAAUUAAUGUUAUAUUUAAUAUAUUUAUAAAAUUAAUAAUAAGGAAUUCGGCAAAAAUUUAUAUUCACUUGUUUAUCAAAAACAUGUCUUUUUGAUUAAUAAUUUAAAGUCUAAUCUGCCCACUGAUUAAAAUAAUUAAAGGGCUGCAGUAUUUUGACUGUACAAAGGUAGCAUAAUCAUUAGUCUCUUAAUUGGUGACUUGUAUGAAAGAUUGGAUGAGAUAUAAACUGUCUUAUAUUUAUUUUUAGAAUUUAAUUUUUUAAUUAAAAAGUUAAAAUAUUUUUAAAAGACGAGAAGACCCUAUAGAGUUUAAUAUAAAUUUUAAUUAGGGAUUUUUUUUAUUAAUUUAAUAUUUAAAUUAAAAUUUAUAUUUUGUUGGGGUGACAGAAAAAUAAAAAUAACUUUUUUUAUAUAUUAUAUAUAUAUAUAUAUAUAUAUAUAUUAAAUUAUUACAUAAAUAAAUGAUUAAAUGAUCCAUAAAUUGUGAUUAAAAGAUUAAAUUACCUUAGGGAUAACAGCGUAAUUUUUUUUUUUAGUUCAAAUAAGAAAAAAAGUUUGCGACCUCGAUGUUGGAUUAAGAUAAAAUUUAAAUGCAAAAGUUUAAAAUUUUGAUCUGUUCGAUCAUUAAAAUCUUACAUGAUCUGAGUUCAAACCGGUGUGAGCCAGGUUGGUUUCUAUCUUUAAAAAAUUAAAAUAUUUUAGUACGAAAGGAUUAAAUAUUUAAAAUAAUUUUAUUGUGGGGAAUUUUAUUAAAUU